CCGGUACUUGCAUGGACCAAACCCUUGUGGAAAGUGUCCUUCCCAUUGAAGAUUAAGAAAUUUGUAUGGCAGCUUCUCCGUGAUCGCCACCCAUUGGAGACAGAGAUGGUCAAGCGACAUGGGGCUGGCGAUGGGCUUUGCCCUCUUUGUGAUGUCCCAGAGUCUGGGAUCCACAUCUUCUUCGCCUGCACUGUUGCCCGCUUUCUUUGGAGCUUUGUCCAUGAGGUUUUACAUUAUCAUGUUGUCUCACAUGUGUUACUAUUUAUUUAG
rnacentral:rRNA from 1 species